UUUGUUCUAGAGCACACAUGCCUGAAAGCGCUAGUUAUAGCAACAGGAUUGUAAACAUUUUGUUAAACAAUUGACCACCUAAAACAUCUCCUAGCUGCCUUGGGGGUGAGCCCACCCAUUGGACGAGACACUGCAUGACGAGACACUGCGUGAGGAGACACUGAGCAGCGACAGCAGCAGGAGUGCCCGUUGAGAUGACCCAGCAGGAAGGUGAAGAUGUAUUAGCCCAUUUGAAACAAGAUUCCUGUGACAGAAAAUAAAAAGAAGCAAUCAAUAAUGUGCAAGGAUGAGUCUUCCACUAGCAGCCUUUGGAUGAAGACGUAGAACUCUCAGCUAUGCCUGCGCCAUGACAGCCUGGAUGCUGCCAUGCUCCCACCUUGAUCAUAAUGGACUGAACCUCUGAACCUAUGGACAAACAGAUGGACUAUGGCUACAGCUACAUGGAAUGUCAAGGUAGAGGGGUGAGACUGUGAGCAAUGAUUAUGAAGAGACCAGCAUCACUAAGGUGAAAUCUUCUGGGAAGUGUUUUCUGGGAGCACAAAGAAGUUGUCUUCCAGAGAUAGUCAAGGUUGUACCUCGUGCUGCAGCUGGACUUGGUAAUGUGUAAUCACCAGGUGGUACUGGUUUUGAAUUCAUGAAGC
ensembl:antisense 4930430E12Rik RIKEN cDNA 4930430E12 gene